rnacentral:tRNA from 1 species
CCUGGGUAGGGUAGCGGUCAUCCUCAGGGACUGUGGAUCCCUGGAGCCGGGUUCGAUUCCCGGUCCAGGCCU